GGAAAAUCACAGUGAAAUAUAUGAAUUGCAAAAUCAACUGUGUUUUGGCUUCCUUGUGCAAUCCUCCCCACCAGGUGAGGCCCCUAGGAGAGCCCCCAUGAUUGGGUGGAUGGCCACAUGCAGCCUCUUCAGGGCAACACACUGCAUUGUGCUACAUUGAUAUCAGCAGUACACUUGAAAAGAAAAGGACUGAAAUUCCCAUAAAACGAGAUAUUUACGAGAGGGUGACAGAAGCUCUGAGUAGUUGUGACCACCCCCACACAAACUGAAGGAAUGACGCACUCUCAGACAAUCUUGAGGAAGCUGCGUGGAUCAGUGGAGGCUCGACGGCGGGGGAAAGGGAUCAGGAUGUGAAGGAUCCAGUACCGUCCAAACACAUGGAGGAAGUUGUGGAAGGCUGAGCGGUGAACCAUGAGCAGACCCUGAGGCACAAGGCUGUCUGGCCUCGGAGGACAUACACAAGCUGCUGUAUAACACAGAACCCGGUGAAAACCCCUGUGGCUGAGGACACAUAGAGCAGCGUUACCCAGCCAACCUCUGCCAACUGGGCCUGCAGACAUACCCGCACAGAGUC